rnacentral:rRNA from 1 species
UACGUAGGGGGCUAGCGUUGUCCGGAAUCAUUGGGCGUAAAGAGCGCGUAGGCGGCCAGAUAAGUCCGGUGUGAAAGUCAAAGGCUCAACCUUUGAAUGCCGCUGGAAACUGUCUGGCUAGAGUGCGGAAGAGGCGAGUGGAAUUCCUGGUGUAGCGGUGAAAUGCGCAGAUAUCAGGAGGAACACCUAUUGCGAAGGCAGCUCGCUGGGACGUUACUGACGCUGAGACGCGAAAGCGUGGGGAGCAAACAGG